rnacentral:rRNA from 1 species
UAGCCGUAAACGAUACUCGCUAGGUGUCGGCCACGGUGCGACCGUUGUCGGUGCCGUAGGGAAGCCGUGAAGCGAGCCACCUGGGAAGUACGGCCGCAAGGCUGAAACUUAAAGGAAUUGGCGGGGGAGCACAACAACGGGUGGAGCUUGCGGUUUAAUUGGAUUCAACGCCGGAAAUCUUACCGGGACCGACAGCAACAUGAAGGCCAGGCUGAAGACUUUGCCGGAUUAGCUGAGAGGUGGUGCAUGGCGUAGUCGUGU